CGUAACGCCCAGAUACCUAUUAAAAGGCAUGCAGCUCGAUAGUGGUACCGGCCCAAGCUGUUAUCCAACUUUAUGACAUAAACGCCCACGGUACCUUUUUAAAGGUAUCUGACAGUAUCUGAUUUGAAAACGCCGUAACAUUUUAAAUUACGCGCCAAAUCUAAUUACUGUUUUUUAUCCGGCUACUGGAAAGUAUGUUUUUGUCUAUGGUUAAGCAAUAGUGCCAAUAGAAAAAUAAAAUAUAUGUAAUUUCCGGCGAAAAGUCUGGCCAUCUUGAUUGACUAGAGGACAUGGUAACCCAAUGAGAGAUGAGCAAAUAGAUGAAGCUUAAAUCAGUCAGAUAUAGAAAAGUAUGAACUAUUUGGAGAUGAGGAUUACAACAUAAACCAAAACCAAGAAAGCUCUUCCAGUUCUGAAGAAUCUGAAAAUAAUAGUUUUUUUAUUAAAAACCAACUCUUAUUUGCAAAAUUAAGUAUUUAAAACUUCUAUAGAAAUAUUAUAUCAAUUUACCUACUAUCAUUCUGAUUUUAAAAGGUAUAUGGGUUGCUAUUAUAUAGUGUUUUUGGAUCCAAUUUCGAAACUUGUUAAUUUUUGCUUCUGUCAUCUGUUGGAAGUGGAUUUCUUCUGAUAGAAAUCCUAAAACACGUGAUAAACUAGCCUUUAAAAAUAAUAAGUACAGAAAAUAAUGAUCAUAUUGUUCAAAAAUUGAUAUUUUUUUCUCAGAUUGUAAGUGUGAGAUAUGUUUUUGGUCAUUAAAAUUUUGGAAGACAUGUAUUAAUCCAAAUAUUUAUGUUCAUUGUUUUUUGUAAUAUAAAAUAAACCCUAUAUUGUCUACCGCUAAUCAAUAAUAUCAAAAAUAUGAAUUUUGCGAAAUCGGGUUUUGUAAUACAUUAAAGCCCAUAUGCCUAAAUAAAGAAUAACGAUUUUGGGGUUAUUUAGUGUCUCAAAACCUUCCACUGACAUACAUUUACAUGCAGAAAAAAUCCCACACUCAUACGGAAAUAAUAAGGCACUUUUUUUAGAUUUCAUCACCUCUGGGUCCGCACCAUGUGAACCUUUUAAAAGGUACUUGGGCUGCAACCCAAUGUUUGGUAAAAAUAGCCUGGGCGUUACGAGGUUAAAUUA